rnacentral:rRNA from 1 species
UGGGGAAUAUUGCACAAUGGGCGAAAGCCUGAUGCAGCAACGCCGCGUGAGUGAUGAAGGUCUUCGGAUUGUAAAGCUCUGUCUUUUGGGACGAUAAUGACGGUACCAAAGGAGGAAGCCACGGCUAACUACGUGCCAGCAGCCGCGGUAAUACGUAGGUGGCGAGCGUUGUCCGGAUUUACUGGGCGUAAAGGGUGCGUAGGCGGAUGUUUAAGUGAGAUGUGAAAUACCCGGGCUUAACUUGGGUGCUGCAUUUCAAACUGGAUAUCUAGAGUGCAGGAGAGGAGAAUGGAAUUCCUAGUGUAGCGGUGAAAUGCGUAGAGAUUAGGAAGAACACCAGUGGCGAAGGCGAUUCUCUGGACUGUAACUGACGCUGAGGCACGAAAGCGUGGGUAGCAAACAGGAUUAGAUACCCUGGUAGUCCACGCCGUAAAACGAUGAGUACUAGGUGUAGGAGGUAUCGACCCCUUCUGUGCCGCAGUAAAACACAUUAAGCAC